AGCCUGCUCUGGCAGAGGAAGGGCGGUGUCCAGGCAAUAGGCAUAGGAAAUGAGUAGGCAGCAGGCUGAAGAGGGUGAAAAAAAACAGGGCAAGAGCAACCCCUCCACUGAAAUGCACUGGGAAGGGGGACUUAGAUACUAACACAAGUUCAAUUCAAGAAGCAUUUAUUGAACCGUCCUCAUGAGCCAGGUCAGGGUGUUCAGCACUGAGCGUGUCAAGACGAAGACACAUAGCCUCUAAGUGUCCACCAUCUACAAUAGCUAAUGUUUAAUUGUCCUUAAAAGUUGAAGAAUGUUGACUGGAUUGUCUGCAAAUCAGUCAUGUGAGUAGUGUUAAUCUAAUGAAGAAGAAUCUUAAAAGACAAAUUCUCCAAAUGCUGCUGCUCCUGCAUCCUGCUGCUCUACCUGCUGUGGGGAGGAGGCAUUGGGAAUUAGUGUUAAACAAGACACAAAAUGUGUGCUCUCAGGAAGAUCAUAUGCCAGUGCAGAGAGAUGAUAAACACGAAAUCCAAUAAAUACACAGUUUGUGCCAUGAAGAAAAUAAAACAAGCUGAUGAAAUUAUAACUACCAGUAUCUGCUGCCACUUACCGUCUAUCACUCUGAAAUCCUUCAUC
rnacentral:lncRNA from 1 species